rnacentral:lncRNA from 1 species
UGCCCACCAAAGUGGAUCUGGCUCUUACCCCACUGUCCCUGCUCCCAAGACAGACUGCAGGGUUCUGCCUUUGUCACUUUGGCUCCAGGAUUUGGCACAAAGACAAGGAGAAAAACAAGCUGUGGAGCUCUGCUGACUGGAAAGCAGGGGGGUUGGGAGGGACAAACCACACCGUUGUCCACUGACCUCCAGGCACUCUGAAGGCUGAUGAAAAGGGUAGCUUCGGAUGCUGGAAGCACCGAGAGGUACCUCUUUGAUCUGCCUGCUUUAAAAAUUCUAUCCUUACGGUAGCCUCACUUUUGGCCUUUUCAUUUCUACAGGAUUUCCUAAUCCCCUUUAAAUAAAGAUCAAAAAGGAGCCA